GGAUAAAGUAGGCUAAACUUAAGCAGGUUCCCCACGUUAAACUGCUAUAUGCAUUAUGCUACAUGUCAUUGUAAAAUUGUAAUAGGCUUCUUUUCUUAAAUGCAUAUGACUCGGGAUGUCAGUUUGACGUAAGCCAGUAUGGCUAUGAUUAAACUAAUCAAGAGCAUAUUUUUAAAUGAGCGGGUCGGGUGCAUUAUUUUUAUAUAAGGCCUAAUAUUUGAGGUCCGAGUUGCGGUCAUUUAUGUACACGCGCACGAAUACUAUAGAGAGAUCGGUUCCGUGAUUUAGAAAAGUACAAGACACGCCUCCUACUACAAGUUACGCCUACUACAAGUCACGCCUCCAUCUUGCAGGAAGCAGACGGAUACUAUUGGAGUGGUUGCGUAAAUAGCACACCUGUUUUUGAAGUGGAUGAUUAUGUUGCAAAGGCGUUGAUUGGCUACAGGGCCAUAAUAUAAAGAGAUAGCAGAGGAUCAGUGCAACAGUGUUUUAGGUCUGGUUUGGCCUCAACCAAUCUGUCUGGGAAAUACUUUGAAUAUAGUUUGCCAUGGCUGUUGGGUGCAUUCUCAGAGUGUCUUGGUUUUGUUUGUUGCUGUUUGGUGGCAGUCUUCCUUUUCCAUCAAUGAAGGGUGACAGAUAUACCUCCAAGACUGACCAUCCUGAAAUUGGGGGUGAUAAAGAUGACAAGCUACAAACUUCUCAUACUCUGAGGUUUGAGGCAUAUAGCCUAGCAAAAGGAUAUUCAGACCGAAGCAAAAAAGUCCCACUAGCUGCAGCUCCAAAGCAGGCACUGUUGAACCCCGAGGAAGGGGCGAGGAUCCAGGGAGGCAGAGCUGUGGAGUUUGGACAGAAAAAUGCUGAGAUUGAAGACCAGAAACUUCCUCUAAACCCUGCCAACCAGCAUGAUUACUCUUUUGAGGAGCAGAGGGGCAGCGCAAAGCCUCAGUUCCCUAAGCCUUCUACCAAACCAUCUUCAGAACUGGCAGGCUCUGACCUUAUCCCUCCUACUCCAUAUCUGUUGAUGGACGAUGGUGCAUUCAGUAGUGGUCCUACUUUGGAGUCUAAACAAGUGUCUAAAAGUGGCGGGUACUUUAAUCCUACCCAGAACCUCAACUUCCAGGCUGGUGAACAAGAGGGCUCACACUUCUAUGCGGACCAGCCAAGAAGUCGGUCCUCUGCUUCCUACAUGACCGGAGGAGGGGAGCCAGUAUUCUCCAUUAAUUCAGAUGAUGACCCCUACACCUAUGACUCUGUGAAUGCGGAACAGCCAAGCAGUUGGUCCUCUGAUCGUUACAUUACCAGAGAAGAGACGGUAUUCUCCAGUAAUGCAGGUGACUGGGCCCAGGCCGCUCUGAACAUUGGCGCACAGAUCCUGGAGGCUGAAGCAGUACCUAGUAUUGACACUAAAGGGGGUUACUCUAGCUCUUCACUGCACCUUGACCUCCCAGCUGGUGUACAAGAAGGUUCACAAAGCUAUUCCCCUAACCUUGUCGAUGAGGCUGUUUAUCAAUACCCUGCUGCUGAAGCUGCACAUCUUCCUUCAGAAGAGAGUGACCUCUCCGACUACAACUCUGUGAAUGUGGUCCAGCCAAGCACUUUGUCUUCUGCUCCCUACAUGACUAGAGAAGAGGAGCCGGUUUACGUCAGUAAUUCAGGUGACUGGGCCCAGGCUGCGCAGACCAUUAGCGAACAGCCUCUGGAGGCUGAAGCAGUACCUAGUACUGACACUAAAGGGGGUUACUCUAGCUCUUCACUGCACCUUGACCUCCCAGCUGAUGUACAAGAAGGUUCACAAAGCUAUUCCCCUAACCUUGUUGAUGAGGCUGUUUAUCAAUACCCUGCUGCUGAAACUGCACAGCUUUAUUCAGAGGGGGUUGACGCCUCCAAGUAUGACUCUAUGAACGCAGUCCAGCCAAGCACUUGGUCCUCGGCUUCCUACAUGACCAGAGAAGAGGAGCCGGUAUUCUCCAGUCAUACAGGUCACUGGGCCCAUGUUGCUCCUGUGGAAACCCCUGCCUAUCCAAGCGAUGUGGCUGAUUUCGUCUUGGACUCGACUUCAAGUAAAGCCGCUGCACAACCAGUCCUCUUCAAGCCACUGAAGAAGGCUCCUCAGCUGCCCAGCUCCAAGUGGCUUCAGAGGCCAAAGAAGGUGAGGGACCAGACUGCAUCUACCUACAUUGUCCAAUCCAAGGGCUCACACCGCCGAAGCCGCCAGAUGUUAUCCAAGAAGAAGUACUUCAGCGGUUUCCCUCCACUGCCCCCAUUCGUGCUUAUGGCUCUGAGACCGUAAGGGGAUCUUAAACAUACAGGAAGCGAGCAAGUGGCUAAAACAGAUGAAGGAACAGAACCUCUCCAAAGGUGCAGUCGAGGUGCCGCGCUUCCCUGGCAUGGAAGACAGCGAGGCUGCACAAUCCCUAGAGUAUUACAUAGAAAAUGGUGUCACCUUAAUUGCUAAAGAAAAGUAUGAAGUUAUGGAUCCUUUUCUAUUUAUGUUUGAGUAUUAUGGGGACAUGCAAUUGUUUUUUGGAAAACUUGAAAAUGAUACGACGAUUAAAGUCCAUUGGGGAUUGUUUUAACCGAAA
rnacentral:lncRNA from 1 species